rnacentral:rRNA from 1 species
GGGUCAGUAGGUUGGUCGUGCCACCGGUACGUACUGGUCUCACUGAUUCCUCCUUCCUGAAGAACCGUAAUGCCACUAAUUUGGUGUUGCGGGGAAACAGGACUGUUACUUUGAAAAAAUUAGAGUGUUUAAAGCAAGCUAACGCUUGAAUACAUUAGCAUGGAAUAAUGAAAUAGGACGAUCGACCCUAUUUUGUUGGUUUCUAGGAUUGACGUA